rnacentral:ncRNA from 1 species
GGAUUUACUAUUGAAGCCUUUGCAGCUUCGCAAGAAGUAUUCCUUUCGACUCUAACUAAAGGAUUUAUGCAAGUUGAAGACGAUGUCUUCAGCAACACAAUCGAAGUGACGGGGACACCCUAAAAUCUACAUCACUACCCACCGUAGGAAACUAUGUUGGUAUCUUGUGCGAAAGACACUAGGAACAGUAAUAGAAUGUAGGAUACUAUUGACUUAAUCGUCAGUAAAUAUGGGCAAUCCGCAGCGAAGUCUCUAAGUGCUCUGAAGCAUAUGAGCAACGUUCACAGACUAAGUGGUUGUGGGUAGAUGCUUUGCAUCUGCUUAAGAUAUAGUCGGGCUCUGAAGGAAACUUCAGAGACUGGAUCACCGUUCCGUAGGUGAACCUGCGGAAGGAUCAUU